UACGGAGGGUGCAAACGUUGCUCGGAAUCAUUGGGCGUAAAGCGCACGUAGGCGGUCUAUCAAGUCGGAUGUGAAAGCCCUGGGCUCAACCCAGGAAGUGCACUCGAUACUGUAUGGCUUGAGUACUGGAGAGGUUGGUGGAAUUCUCGGUGUAGAGGUGAAAUUCGUAGAUAUCGAGAGGAACACCGGUGGCGAAGGCGGCCAACUGGACAGAUACUGACGCUGAGACACGAAAGCGUGGGGAGCAAACAGG
rnacentral:rRNA from 1 species